rnacentral:piRNA from 1 species
UAAUGAAUGGUAGUGGAUGCUGUAUAGA